rnacentral:rRNA from 1 species
UGGGGAAUCUUGGACAAUGGGGGAAACCCUGAUCCAGCGAUGCCGCGUGAGCGAAGAAGGCCUUAGGGUUGUAAAGCUCUUUCGCCCGCGACGAUAAUGACGGUAGCGGGAGAAGAAGCCCCGGCUAACUCCGUGCCAGCAGCCGCGGUAAUACGGAGGGGGCUAGCGUUGUCCGGAAUUACUGGGCGUAAAGCGCGCGUAGGUGGUCCACCAAGUCGGGGGUGAAAGCCCAGGGCUCAACCCUGGAAUUGCCUCCGAGACUGAUGGACUCGAGUUCGGGAGAGGAGAGCGGAAUUCCCAGUGUAGAGGUGAAAUUCGUAGAUAUUGGGAAGAACACCGGUGGCGAAGGCGGCUCUCUGGCCCGCAACUGACGCUGAGGCGCGAAAGCGUGGGGAGCAAACAG